CCCUUAGAUGUUCUGGGCCGCACGCGCGCUACACUGAUGCAUUCAACGAGUUUCUUCCUGGUCCGAGAGGAAUGGGUAACCUUUUGAAAGUGCAUCGUGAUAGGGAUAGACUAUUGCAAUUAUUGGUCUUCAACGAGGAAUUCCUAGUAGACGUAGUUCAUCAGACUGCAAUGAUUACGUCCCUGCCCUUUGUACACACCGCCCGUCGCACCUACCGAUUGAAUGGUCCGGUGAGGACUCGGGAUUGUGGUUUAGCUCCUUCAUUGGGGCCUGACUGCGAGAACUUGUCCGAACCUUAUCAUUUAGAGGAAGGUGAAGUCGUAACA
rnacentral:rRNA from 1 species